UACAGAGGUCCCAAGCGUUGUUCGGAUUCAUUGGGCGUAAAGGGUGCGUAGGUGGCGCGGUAAGUCGGGUGUGAAAUUUCGGAGCUUAACUCCGAAACUGCAUUCGAUACUGCCGUGCUUGAGGACUGGAGAGGAGACUGGAAUUUACGGUGUAGCAGUGAAAUGCGUAGAGAUCGUAAGGAAGACCAGUGGCGAAGGCGGGUCUCUGGACAGUUCCUGACGCUGAGGCACGAAGGCCAGGGGAGCAAACGGG
rnacentral:rRNA from 1 species